CGUAAAAUUCAUGUAAAGUGUACCAAAACGCAACAAACAGCGGCUGAGACAUAAAUCAAAACGCAACCGCCAUUGCCGCCGGCGUUCCGAUCUGAUCCUCCGACCAAUCCCUAGCUACACCAAUCAUCUUCCCAGGAAUGUUUAAUCCUGAGGCAGGGAGGUCGUCGCACACAUUUAUGGUUGGUGGAAAAUCUUGUUGACUAGGGAGGACAGUUGGUUGGUUAAUUAGUAUUUUGAUGGAGCAGAGAAUGGAGCAACGUGGUGGUGAUACAACGGAGAGUGUAUACACUGCGGAAGAUAUUAACCGAGAACAUGAAUUUGAACCGUUCAAUAUUGAAAACGAUAUCAGGAAGGAGACGAGUUUCUCUAGCAGUUUCAGUGGUGAUUCCAGUUCCAGUGAUAACCUUCAAGGGUUACCUAAAGCUUCGAAGGAUGUUAUUUCUGCAGCUGAUGUGCUAAAAACGUUGUUUUUUGUACUUGUAUGGUAUACUUUCAGCACAUUUUUGACUCUGUACAACAAAACUCUUUUAGGAGAUGAUCUGGGGAAGUUUCCUGCUCCUUUUUUAAUGAAUACAAUUCACUUUUCUAUGCAAGCUGUUUUAUCCAAUAUGAUCACAUGGUACUGGUCCGAAAGAUUUCAGCCCGGUGUUACCAUAUCAUGGAGAGACUAUUUCAUUAGAGUUGUACCAACAGCAUUUGGAACAGCCAUGGACGUCAACCUAAGUAACGCAUCACUUGUUUUCAUUUCUGUUACCUUUGCAACAAUGUGUAAAUCUGCAGCUCCGAUAUUUCUUCUUCUGUUUGCUUUUGCGUUCAGGCUGGAGUCUCCAAGCCUGAAACUUUUUGGUAUUAUGUUAAUAAUUUCCGCUGGAGUUCUGCUGACAGUUGCGAAGGAGACAGAAUUUGAGUUUUGGGGUUUUGUUUUUGUUAUGCUUGCUGCUGUCAUGUCUGGUUUCCGCUGGUGUAUGACACAAGUUCUUUUGCAGAAAGAAGCCUAUGGCCUGAAAAAUCCAUUUACCUUUAUGAGUUACGUGACCCCGGUGAUGGCUUUGGUGACCGGUCUUCUUUCACUCCUCUUUGAUCCAUGGAGUGAGUUUAGAAGCAACCAAUACUUUGAUAGCCGAUCACAUAUAGCUAGGAGUGGCUUCUUGAUGCUUUUCGGUGGAGCCCUUGCAUUUUUUAUGGUAUUAACAGAGUAUGUUCUUGUUUCUGUGACCAGUGCCGUAACCGUCACGAUAGCAGGUGUCGUUAAAGAGGCUGUCACCAUAGUGGUCGCAGUGUUUUACUUCCACGAUGAAUUUACGUGGUUGAAAGGUGUCGGACUGAUCAUCAUCAUGUUUGGCGUCUGCUUGUUCAACUGGUACAAAUAUGAUAAACUACAAAAGGGUCAUAAAUCGGAAGACGAGAAGAAUUUAUCCGCUUCAAGUCAGACCGGAAAAUACGUCAUUCUCGAUGAGAUGGAUGAUCAAGAAAACAGUGUCUAAGAUUUUUUUCCGCAUCCACACAGUGUCAUUAGCUUGGUGUCACAGAGUCAGUAAAUUUUGGAGCCAGAAGGCUUUCUGUUGAUUCCAGAAUCUGUUUUUUCACAGAGACGAGAUUCCAUAUCUUAGGCAGAAGAAACAGAGCGAGGAGACAAGAACAAGAGCUUCGACAACACCACGUUCUCCAUUAUGCCCUUCCCUAUAAUACCCAUCCUCUUCCACUUCAACGCCGCCGCCACGUCAGCUCUUCUUCCUUCUUCUUACCUGUGGCCCGCUUCUUCGGAGAUACCCACCUCUUCAUCGGUCCCACUCUCUCUCUCUCUCUCGCACGCGCAGUGCAGAGUUAGUUCUUCUUGCAGAACAGGGGGCUUUGGUCGUGUAAACAUGUUAUACACUAAAGGAGAGGGGAUGGCAUCUCGUUGGAUUGGUUUGGAAGAAGAGGGUAGUUCGGUGAACUCGGAGCGAGGGGAUGAGAUGCUCUGUUGCCUUUUCUUCAGGCAGCGGGAAAGCGAAGCGAUUGGAAUACGAGAGGGGUGUUUUGGUAAUUUCAAGAUGGCUUGGUGGAAGAACGGUCCAUCCAGCAGCAUGUGUGUUGCCGAUAAUUUACCAAAUGACAGUAAAUGCUAUGACUUGGAUUUUGUGUUGAAUAGAAGUUACAUCUCAUUAGCUUUUCACCUUUAAAGAGUCUACCAAAGGUCUGGAACAAAGGAUACAGAUCAGUAUGAAAAAAAAAACCCCCCAAAAUUCAGCGACAAAGGUGUUGUCCUUGCAAGCUGAACUUGUAAAAAACCAUGGCCACCCUGCCAUGCUCUAUGACUUGAGAGAAACUAACACCUCCUCUCGAGACAGAUUC